GUCAGUGUGUGUUCAGUGUGUUGGGAGAGAGAGUGGAACUGCGGAACCGCUCGGCUCCAGUGCAACAGUGGAUUUCGGACCAAUGAGACAAAGCGGAAUUACUGUCGCAGAUCCAAUGCGAAGAUGUGAUAGAGUUGUGCUGGUGCUGUGCUGGGAAGAAGAGCCCCCGCGGCAGCUGCGCUGAUGAUAGAAGAAUUCAUGACGGCUCUCCAGGUCAUCCUUCUCCAGCUCUCAUUGCCCCGGGACCAGCGAGCGAAAAGUGACCUGUUCCAGUCGACGUGGAAGCUGUGCUGCCGAGACAGCCACAAAACUCAGGUGUGGCUUUGUUUCUUUACUCUGAGCUUUCUGACUUCAUGUGCUAGUGCUACUCCUAUCAAAGUAGGAGAUCUACAGACCUGUCUCGAGAAAGAGCUGAAAGUCACCAUUGAGAAUUUCUUGGCGCAGCCAAAGGUAUUGAGGGGAUCCGAUUUGGUGGCCUUAGGAUCGCAUCUCUGCUUUUUGCGGAUGAUGUGGUCCUGUUGGCUCCAUCAGGACGUGAUCUGCAGCUCUCACUGGAGCGGUUCGCAGCCGAGUGCGAAGGGCCGGGAUGAGGAUCAAUGCCUCCAAAAGCGAGGCCCUGGUCUUGAGCUGGAUCGUCCUGCCCUCAGUGGAAGAGUUUAAGUAUCUUGGGAUUUUGAUCACGAAUGAGGGAAGAAGGAAGCAGGAGAUUGACAGGCGGAUUGGCGCAGCGUCAUGAAGCGGGCGCUGUACCGGUCCGGAGCGGGGAAGAGAGAGCUGAGUCUGGGCUCUCCCUUUGAGGGAGAAGCUCGGUCAUCUGGGAGGGACUCAGAGUAGAACGCCUCCCUGGUGAGGGAGUAUGUUUCUGGAGCAAGUGGCUCGGCAGAGGGACCCGACCCUGGAUAAAGCGGAAGAAAAUGGAUGGAUGGAUAAUCUACAAAACAAGAAUUUUAUUUAUGGAGCUGUGUCACCACAUUUUUCAGUAUAUUUUUAGUCUGACGUAGUUGAAAAAUAUUCUGACAAACGUGUUUUUAUUACCUGCAACCACAUUCAUUAUUCUCUGUUGUAUCACCUUCACUUUUCUUUUUUUUAUCAUGUGGUUUUAUUUGCAUCAAUUAAAAGUAAAGAACAGGGGCUUUAAAUGCAGGAAAUAGGUAAUUGAGCCUAAUCAAAAUUACAUCAUUAUUAUUGAAAGUUCAGGGAAAAACCCACUGCAUUAAAAUCACUUUUUCAUAAAAAAUCUUUUCUGCUCAAAUUUCACAAAAACGUCAGUGAGAGUUAAUCUUGGCCAAAGUUCACAACCUUUGUUGGUGCAACCAAGGUGUUGAGAUUUUUAUAAUUUAAUGGAGGAGUUAAAUUAUUUCUGAUAAUGAAGCAGGAGUUUGGAAGGUAAGUUGCUGCACCAAUCUGUCAUGUUGAAGAGAUUUAUGGCAGCUGAUUUAUCAGGAUUCUUUAAAAAUAUACUUGCACAGGUCUCUCACUACCAGUAGCUGCGAUCAAAUUCACCCAUUGUAAUGACAGAAGAAACAUUCUUAAUCACCCAGUGAAGAAUUAACCAUGCAAAACUUGUUGCCUCAGAUCACAAUCCUGGAAGGAGCGUUUAAAUCUGCAGAAAAGAUUAUUUUUAUUUUCUGCUCUCUUAUACUUGAGUACAUUUUUUGCAGUGUAGGUUUUGUUUUUGAAAGUAAUUGUGUUUUAGGAAAUAGUUUUAUUAAAAACCUUAUGUUGUGUCAUUUUUUCCCUUCCUUUCAGAAAUCUACUGCCAAGCUGUACUCCCCAAAAGCUGAAGACAUGACAGUUGGCUGUCAGCAAAAGGUGCUCUCCUGUUAUAUGUUAGAACUGAUGAUGGUCUUUGAAGAGGAAGACA